rnacentral:lncRNA from 1 species
AAAAAAAAAAAAAGAAUAAAAAAGUGUGAGAGAGGGUCGUAAGCAAGGGGGUGAUAUUUUAUUUAUCACAAAAGGCUUCUGUAGUAAGGUGACCUAAAUAGAGUGAGACCCAUCCAUUUAUCAUCCCUAUAAAAUAAAGAUCACUAUCGUAACUUACAAGAGGAAGUGAGGAAGAGACACAAGUAUAGUGACACCAAGGAAAGACAGUCAUGUGACAACGGAGCUGGAGACUGGGGUUACGCAUCUACAAACCAGGGAAUGCGGUGGAUUGCUGGACACCACAGAAUGAGGAGAGAGGCACAGGACAGAUACAGCCUCAGACCCACAGAAGAAAACAACCCUGCUGACUCGUUGAGCUCAGCUUUCCAGCCUCCAAGCAGUGAGAGAAGACACUUCUGUUGCUUGAGACACCCGGUUUGUGGUACUUUGUUAUGACAGUCCUGGGAAACUAACAGUUCCUUAUUUACAGAUGAAGAAGCUAUGGCUUGGACUUUGUGUAACUUAUCCAAGUUUACAGGACUGAUGCGGGAUAAAUAAGGACUAGAAUUUCAAGCCAUUCUGCCCUGGCACACACAUGUCCUCUUCACCUGCUUGUGAAGAAACAGAGGCAGAAAUGGGCAGAUGACUUACUGAAGGCCACGCAGCUGUACACUUGUAGGAAAGAUGGG